rnacentral:rRNA from 1 species
AGCAGCCGCGGUAAUUCCAGCUCCAAUAGCGUAUAUUAAAGUUGCUGCAGUUAAAAAGCUCGUAGUUGAAUUUCGGGACUAAUAUGUCGGUCGUGCCUCGGUACGUACCGGUAUUUUUGGUUUCUCCCUUCUGACGAACCUUGAUGUCAUUAAUUUGGUGUCUUGGGAAAUCAGGACUGUUACUUUGAAAAAAUUAGAGUGUUUAAAGCAGGCUCACGCUUGAAUACAUUAGCAUGGAAUAAUGAAAUAGGACGUUUGAUUCUAUUUUGUUGGUUUCUAGGAUUGACGUAAUGAUUAAUAGGGAUAGUUGGGGGCAUUAGUAUUCAAUUGUCAGAGGUGAAAUUCUUGGAUUUAUUGAAGACUAACUACUGCGAAAGCAUUUGCCAAGGAUGUUUUCAUUAAUCAAGAACGAAAGUUAGGGGAUCGAAGACGAUCAGAUACCGUCGUAGUCUUAACCAUAAACUAUGCCGACUAGGGAUCGGAUGAUGUUAAUUUUUUAAUGACUCAUUCGGCGCCUUAC